CCUCUUACUUCUUGAAGUUCUUCGGGGGCAGGAUGUUGCCCUUGGCGUCGAGGGGAGGUGCCCUUGCUUCACUCCUCAGCUUGAGUUUCUCCAGCUCUCUCAGUUCCAGCACCGUCCUGGCAGUCACCUGUUUCUUCCUGUGGCGGUCCGUGAAGAUGGGAGUACAGCGCAUGAAGAAGCAGCCGCAGAGGCAGCAAGCUACCGGCCUCCUCGGACCCCGGACUCUCAUCAGGACACGGAUGGCCUGCCGGAAGCCGUCUCUCCGCGCCUGCCCUGCCAUCAGAAGUUAUGUCUGCUCCGUAGGAUUCCCCAGCUUUCGCUCCCUCUCCGUCUGGUCUGUUAGGGUUUGAUUUCCCUGCUCUCCACUCUUUAGGACACAUCCUCUGCGCUGUGGCUCCCCCGCGCUCCUGCGAGGAGCUGGCGCUCCUAACAGGGCACAUCAGGUCCGGGAAACUGGGGGGUGGGGGGUUGUGCCUGAUGCCGGGCAACGCAUAGUACCUGGCAACACAUAGAAGGAAACUCGUUCUCUGUAGAGAAUGCAGCCCAGGUGCUCUUCUCUCCCGACUCGACCUGUUACUCGUUUCUCUGUCAUUGCUGCAUUCCCCUCACUUCUCAUCCAAAUACAAGCAGCUCCUAGCAGUGAGAGUGAGGAGUCAGAAAUUCUUGGGGAGCAUCAGGUGGCACAGAGACCAGUCACCAGGCCCUUGCUGCUUGCAGAGGGCCCAGUGGUGGGCACAGCACAACGUCUGCCUUGGCAUAAGCAGGCAAAGUGGAGCUAGAGGAGCGGAUGGUUCCUGCCCGCCGUCCUCACUCGGAGGGCGUGGAUUGCCCAGCUGCAUGAGCUCCUGGAAGGGUGGAUGGCGUGGGUAGCAAAGGCUGGAUUUCUUCCUCCUUGAUGGACUCAACUGGAAGCAGAGGAGACAACCUUUCUCCAAGCAGGAAUUUGUCCUCUUGCACAGGCCCCGCGGCGGGCAGAGGGGCUACCCCAUCAUCAGCUAGCAGCACCUGCAAAGGAAGCCGGGAUGUGGUGAGACGGAGCUCUCCAGGCUUUGAGAUUCAACCCGGUUACCAGGCAGGACACAAGAUCAUGGCUAAAGCAAGCCACAUGCUGGUGCUGCUCCUCUUUUUUUGUCUUUUUAAAGUCUUACAAACUAUUAAAUAGAAUAUAGGAUGAAGGCAGUAGUUCAAUUCUGGGGGAGGGGGGGUAAAAGAGCAUUUAAUAUGGUGCUGGUAUAAUUAGUACCCAUCGGAGAGAAAAUAAAAUUGGAUGCCUGUUUCAUACCAUGUACAAAGACUUAAAUAGAAAAAGUAAAACCAUACGAAUCCUGAAAGAGAAUCUAGGAGACUACAUGUACAAUCUGAGGGUGGGUGCGACCUUCUUAAGCAAGACUGGAAACCCAGAAGCUGUAAAAGAGAAGAGAGACACAUUUGACUACAUAAAAAAUUAAAAUCUUACUGUGGCGAGAGAUUCCAAAAACAAAGAAACAAACCAUAGAAGUAAAAGAAAUAUCUUCAGCAUAAAAGACUGAAGUUAAUAUUUUAAUAACAAAGAACUUUCACAUAUUAUCAAAACCCCCCAGAAAGAUGGGGCAAGCCCAUAAAUAAGCAUCUGAUAGUGAACAAUUCCAUGUGACCAAACAUAACAAGAAGGUACUCACACUUACUGAUAAGCAAAGAAAGAUACAAUGAAACAAAGAGAUAUCAUUUAUAUAUAAUAGAUGGGCAAAUAUUUAAAAGACUAUACCAAUUGCUGGCAAAGAUAUAGGUCUUAUCAUAUAUUGCUGAUAGAAAUGUAAAUUAUUAUAUAUUUUCUUGGAAACCAAUAUCUAGCAAUAUUUAGUAAAAUUGGAAACACAUUUCCACUCAGCAACCUCAUGUCUGGUUUUCUAUCCCACAGAAAUAAAAAGCACUUGUAAGAAAGAUACUUGCAAAGAUACUUAAUGCAGUGUUGUUUGAGGGCAAAAAAACUAGAGGCAAAAUGUACUCCUAAAAGUGGAAUGGCUGGAAAAUUUAUGGCAUGGCCACACAGUGGAAUAUUAUGUGUCCAUUAAAAAAACGGCAAUGCCACGUGAAUUGGAAGAAUUUUCACGUGGCAGAAAAGUG